rnacentral:RNase_P_RNA from 13 species
GGAGGUCAAAUUGUAGCCUUGGGAAUUACAAACGGAGUAUUUUUUACUCAAUUUAUUCCCGGGAAGGUCUGAGGAAUGAUCGAUAUCAUUUUCUAGCAGAAGAAUACCCUUAAAAGGGAUGCAGAGAAAUAGAAAAGGUGAGUUCGUGUGUUUUUCUGUCCUGGGAAAUUUGAGGGCUUAAACAGGCGGCUCGUGGAAAUGCUCUGUGAUCAGAUAUUUGAGUUAAAUUGCUACAGCGCUCUUGCGUAACUCAAUUCAGACUAUUCUUGACCUCC